CUGCCAGCGAGGCGAACUGGUGAGGGUGAAGGCCACACACCACCCCGAGGCUGCGUAGGCCGCGCGGAGGGGGCCGCCGUGUCGCCGCCCUGGGGAACUGACCCGCAGACCGGGAAGCACCGGACAGACCGAGGAUUUGUGGGUGGAAGGCAGGCAUGGUCAGACCCAUUUCCCUGUCAGGAAAGCAGAGACAGGACGUGUCUCUCUCCACGUCUUUCAGCCAGUAAAAGCAGCCAAGCUGGAGCCCAAAGCUAGGUGUCCUGACUCCCAGCGGGGGCCUCCCUGCACCAACCAUGAGCCGCUUGCUCUGGAAGAAGGUAGCCGGCGCCGCCGUCGGGCCAGGGCCAGUUCCAGCUCCGGGGCGCUGGGUCUCCAGCUCCGGCCCCGGCCCCGGCCCCAGCGACGGGCUGCCGCAGCCGCCGCAGCUGCAGGUGCCAUCCUCCGAGGGCGGGCAGCUACGGCACAACCCAUUGCACAUCCAGAUGCUCUCGAGAGGGCUCCACGAGCAAAUCUUCGGGCACACCGGGGAGGAGCCCGGCGAGGCCGCGGUGCGCCGCAGCAUCGAGCACCUGCAGAAGCACGGGCUCUGGGGGCAGUUGGCCACGCCCUUGCCAGACGUGGAGCUGCGCCUGCCGCCCCUCUAUGGGGGCAGCCUGGACCAGCACUUCUCCCUCCUGGCCCAGAAGCAGAGCCUGCCCUACCUGGAGGCGGCCAACUCGCUAUUGCAGGCCCAGCUGCCCCCCCGGCCCCCGAGCUGGGCCUGGGCGGAGGGCUGGACCCGGUACGGCCCCGAGGGGGAGGCCGCACCCGUGGCCAUCCCCGAGGAGCGGGCCCUGGUGUUCGACGUGGAGGUCUGCUUGGCAGAGGGAACUUGCCCCACAUUGGCGGUGGCCAUAUCCCCCUCGGCCUGGUAUUCCUGGUGCAGCCGGCGGCUGGUGGAAGAGCGUUACUCUUGGACCAGCCAGCUGUCGCCGGCUGACCUCAUCCCUCUAGAGGUCCCCGCCAGCGCUGGCGACCCCACCCAGCGGGAUUGGCAGGAACAGUUAGUGGUGGGGCACAACGUUUGCUUUGACCGCGCCCAUAUCAGGGAACAGUAUCUGAUCCAGGGCUCCCGCAUGCGCUUCUUGGACACUCUGAGCAUGCACAUGGCCAUCUCGGGGCUCAGCAGCUUCCAGCGCAGUCUGUGGGUGGCAGCCAAGCAGAGCAAGGGCAAGGCCCGGCACCCCACACAGCGAGCCCAGAAGUCCCGGAACAAAGCCAGCGGCCCAGUGAUCUCAUCCUGGGACUGGCUGGACAUCAGCAGUGUCAAUAAUCUGGCCGAUGUGCACAGCCUGUACGUGGGGGGGCCUCCCUUGCGGAAGGAGCCACGAGAACUGUUCGUUAAGGGUAGCAUGAAGGACAUCCGGGAGAACUUCCAGGACCUGAUGCAGUACUGUGCCCAGGACGUGUGGGCCACCUAUGAGGUUUUCCAGCAGCAGCUACCGCUCUUCAUGGAGAGGUGUCCUCACCCGGUGACUCUGGCUGGCAUGCUGGAGAUGGGUGUCUCCUACCUGCCUGUCAACCAGAACUGGGAGCGUUACGUGGCGGAGGCACAGAGCACCUACGAGGAGCUCCAGCGGGAGAUGAAGAAGUCACUGAUGGAUCUGGCCAAUGAUGCCUGCCAGCUGCUCUCAGGAGAGAGGUACAAAGAAGACCCCUGGCUCUGGGACCUGGAGUGGGACCUGCAAGAGUUUAAGCAGAAGAAGGCAAAGAAGGUGAAGAGGAAGGAGCCAGCCUCAGCCAGCAAAUUGCCCAUCCUGGGGGCUGGGGCCGCUGGGGACCUCGAGGAUCAGGAAGACCCCGGCCCCCCCAGUGAGGGGGAGGAGUUUCAGCAAGAAGCCCAGGCCCGCAUCUGCUUGGAGCAGCUGAAGGGGACCACAGAGCUCCUGCCCAAGCGGUCUCAGCACCUUCCUGGACACCCCGGGUGGUACCGGAAGCUCUGUCCUCGGCUAGAUGACCCCACGUGGACCCCCGGCCCCAGCCUCCUCAGCCUGCAGAUGCGGGUCACACCCAAACUCAUGGCGCUGACCUGGGAUGGCUUCCCCCUGCACUUCUCCGAGAGGCACGGCUGGGGAUACCUGGUACCCGGGCGGCGGGACAACCUGGCCAAAGUGCCAGCAGGCACUGCCCUCGCACCAGCUGGGGUGGCCUGUCCCUAUAGAGCCAUCGAGUCCCUGUACAGGAAGCACUGUCUUGAACAGGGGAAGCAGCAGCCCGAGCCCCAGCAGGCGGGCCUGGUGGAGGAGUUCCUGUUCACGGACAGCAGCGCCGUGUGGCAGACGGUGGAAGAACUGGGCUGCUUAGAAGUGGAGACUGAGGCCAGGAUGGAGAACUGGGAAGCAUCAGUUCCAGGUCAACCCCCAGCUUUGACUGCUGCUGGUGGCCCCAAAGCCAGCCAACCAGCCUAUCACCAUGGCGACGGACCUUACAAUGAUGUGGAUGUCCCCGGCUGCUGGUUCUUCAAGCUGCCUCACAAGGCAUCCACUCGGGGGGUCUUGGAACGUAUCCUGACAGAUAAGGUGGUUGCUGUAUUGCGAGGGAAGCCACAUGCCUGUGCAUGUGGGGUGUGUUGCAGUCAAGGAUGUCUCCCGACGGCUCUGCUCGAGGAUGGUGGUGGUUGCAAUGUGGGCAGCCCCUUUGCCAAGGACUUCUUGCCCAAGAUGGAGGACGGCACUCUGCAGGCUGGCCCAGGAGGUGCCAGUGGGCCCCGUGCCUUGGAAAUCAACAAAAUGAUUUCUUUCUGGAGGAAUGCCCAUAAGCGUAUCAGCUCCCAGAUGGUGGUGUGGCUGCCCCGAGCAGCUCUGCCCCGUGCUGUGACCAGGCACCCAGACUACGAUGAGGAAGGCCGCUAUGGGGCCAUCUUGCCCCAGGUGGUGACUGCCGGCACCAUCACCCGCCGGGCUGUGGAGCCCACGUGGCUCACUGCCAGCAACGCCCGGCCUGACCGAGUAGGCAGUGAGUUGAAGGCCAUGGUGCAGGCCCCACCUGGCUACGUGCUCGUGGGUGCUGACGUGGACUCACAGGAGCUGUGGAUCGCAGCUGUGCUUGGAGAUGCCCACUUUGCCGGCAUGCAUGGCUGCACAGCCUUUGGGUGGAUGACACUGCAGGGGAGGAAGAGCAGGGGCACCGACCUGCACAGUAAAACAGCUGCCACAGUGGGCAUCAGUCGGGAGCACGCCAAGGUCUUCAACUAUGGCCGCAUCUAUGGGGCCGGGCAGCCCUUUGCUGAGCGCCUGCUAAUGCAGUUCAACCAUCGGCUCACAAGGCAGGAGGCAGCCGAGAAGGCCCAGCAGAUGUAUGCCGUCACCAAGGGCCUCCGCCGGUAUCGGCUCUCGGAUGAGGGCGAGUGGCUGGUGAGAGAGUUGGACCUCCCUGUGCACAGAACCGAGGAUGGCUGGGUUUCCCUGCAGGAUCUCCGCAAGAUCCAGAGAGAAGCCUCAAGGAAAUCGCACUGGAAGAAGUGGGAGGUGGUCGCUGAAAGAGCGUGGAGUGGGGGCACAGAGUCAGGGAUGUUCAACAAGCUGGAGAGCAUCGCCACAGCGGACGCCCCUUGUACGCCGGUGCUGGGGUGCCGCAUCAGCCGAGCCCUGGAGCCCUCAGCUGUCCGGGGAGAGUUCAUGACCAGCCGCGUGAACUGGGUGGUACAGAGCUCUGCUGUGGACUACUUACACCUCAUGCUUGUGGCCAUGAAGUGGCUGUUUGAGGAGUUCGCCAUUGAAGGGCGCUUCUGCAUCAGCAUCCACGAUGAGGUCCGCUACCUGGUGCGGGAGGAGGACCGCUACCGUGCCGCCCUGGCCCUGCAGAUCACCAACCUCCUAACCAGGUCUCUUUCAGGUGCAUGUUCGCCUACAAGCUGGGCCUGCGUGACUUGCCACAGUCAGUCGCCUUUUUCAGUGCAGUCGAUAUUGACCGGUGCCUCAGAAAGGAAGUGACCAUGGAUUGUAAAACCCCUUCCAACCCAACAGGGAUGGAAAGAAGAUACGGGAUUCCCCAGGGGGAAGCGCUGGAUAUUUACCAGAUAAUUGAACUCACCAAAGGCUCCUUGGAAAAACGAAGCCAGCCUGGACCAUAGCUCUACCUGGUGGCUCCAUAUUUGCUCCUGUGGAGCUUCACUGGGGCAGUACAGGCUCCCAAACUCAGGCAUUCAGCUGUGCUUUUUGCAAAGGGCUUGCCCCAGGCCAGCCAUAUUUAAGUAGCAGAUGCCAAGAACAAUUGCCUCUAACUGAAGGUGCAGUUGAACAACAGACUCAGAACCAAGAUGCCAUCAUGGGUGCAGGCAGUGGAACAAGGAUGCAUUGUUGCUUACUGGGUAGAAAGCAGAAGCCCCAAAGUCCACAUUAACUCAGGCAUUUCGUUUCUUCUUUCCUUUUCUUCCUGGCUGGCUCCUUGUUCUGUCCCCUGGGGGGCGACGCAGUGCCCUAGAGGGAAGACAGUGCUGUUAUGUGUGAUAAACCUGUUGGAAGCAGUGGAAAUAAAAACCCAAACCCUCUGUCUUCCCAUUGCA